GUAGGUGAACCUGCGGAAGGAUCAUUACCAAAUCCAAAAAAAAACUUUAUCAACACCCAAUGUGAACUGAGAGUGGUUUCGUUCCCUCCAAAAGGGCAGAAAAAAUUUAUAUAUAUAUAUAUAUUUUUUGCCGGGCGGAGGGAAUGCUUUUUUUUUUCAACCCCUUUACAACUAUACAACCAUUUCUUUUAUGCUGAAAGCAAAACAAAAAACGAAACAUGAGACAACUUUUAACGGUGGAUCUCUUGGCUCGU
rnacentral:misc_RNA from 1 species